rnacentral:rRNA from 1 species
AGUGAACGCUGGCGGUAGGCCUAACACAUGCAAGUCGAACGGCAGCACAGUAAGAGCUUGCUCUUACGGGUGGCGAGUGGCGGACGGGUGAGUAAUACAUCGGAAUCUACUUUUUCGUGGGGGGUAACGUAGGGAAACUUACGCUAAUACCGCAUACGACCUACGGGUGAAAGCAGGGGAUCUUCGGACCUUGCGCGAUUGAAUGAGCCGAUGUCGGAUUAGCUAGUUGGCGGGGUAAAGGCCCACCAAGGCGACGAUCCGUAGCUGGUCUGAGAGGAUGAUCAGCCACACUGGAACUGAGACACGGUCCAGACUCCUACGGUAGGCAGCAGUGGGGAAUAUUGGACAAUGGGCGCAAGCCUGAUCCAGCCAUACCGCGUGGGUGAAGAAGGCCUUCGGGUUGUAAAGCCCUUUUGUUGGGAAAGAAAAGCAGCAGGUUAAUACCCCGCUGUUCUGACGGUACCCAAAGAAUAAGCACCGGCUAACUUCGUG